AAAAUAAUUUUAAUAAUAAAACCUAUUUUUUUGAAGGCUUUAUUUUAUCUUUAGUGCUCAAACAAUUCAUCUUAACAUUAUAUAAAAUAAAAAAUGACAAAAGGAAAAAUGAAAACGGAGAAAAUAUGAAUACAAUUCUUAAAUUUGUUUAUGUUGUGAUUGCCUUCAUUUCAAUAUUUUUUGUUGUAAGUGCCAUGAGCUACGGUAAGCACUUUAAUUCCUUCAUCAAUUUCAAAUUUUAUCUUUAUUUUUAUUUUUAAUCAAUUUUAUAUUUAUUUUAUACAUAUUUUUUUUUUCAUUCUCUUUCAUUAACACUCUUAUAUAUUCUUGUUUUACAUCAUAGGAUCACGUAAUCAUUGUCUCGGAAACAUGGAUUGUUCUCCUUCAUUGUGCCCCUUGCUUAAUAUGAAAGCAAUUUGUAGUAGUUAUAGUUGUAUUUGCAUCAAAGUCUACCCCAAUUAAGUUAAAAUAUAAUUAUAUGUUACUUAUACUUCUACAAUUUUACUUAUUACACGUUAAAAUAUUGUCACUUCU
rnacentral:lncRNA from 1 species